UGCAAGUCGAGCGAACAGAUGAGAAGCUUGCUUCUCUGAUGUUAGCGGCGGACGGGUGAGUAACACGUGGGUAACCUACCUAUAAGACUGGGAUAACUCCGGGAAACCGGGGCUAAUACCGGAUAAUAUUUUGAACCGCAUGGUUCAAUAGUGAAAGACGGUUUCGGCUGUCACUUAUAGAUGGACCCGCGCCGUAUUAGCUAGUUGGUAAGGUAACGGCUUACCAAGGCGACGAUACGUAGCCGACCUGAGAGGGUGAUCGGCCACACUGGAACUGAGACACGGUCCAGACUCCUACGGGAGGCAGCAGUAGGGAAUCUUCCGCAAUGGGCGAAAGCCUGACGGAGCAACGCCGCGUGAGUGAUGAAGGUCUUCGGAUCGUAAAACUCUGUUGUUAGGGAAGAACAAAUUUGUUAGUAACUGAACAAGUCUUGACGGUACCUAACCAGAAAGCCACGGCUAACUACGUGCCAGCAGCCGCGGUAAUACGUAGGUGGCAAGCGUUAUCCGGAAUUAUUGGGCGUAAAGCGCGCGUAGGCGGUUUCUUAAGUCUGAUGUGAAAGCCCACGGCUCAACCGUGGAGGGUCAUUGGAAACUGGGAAACUUGAGUGCAGAAGAGGAGAGUGGAAUUCCAUGUGUAGCGGUGAAAUGCGCAGAGAUAUGGAGGAACACCAGUGGCGAAGGCGGCUCUCUGGUCUGUAACUGACGCUGAUGUGCGAAAGCGUGGGGAUCAAACAGGAUUAGAUACCCUGGUAGUCCACGCCGUAAACGAUGAGUGCUAAGUGUUAGGGGGUUUCCGCCCCUUAGUGCUGCAGCUAACGCAUUAAGCACUCCGCCUGGGGAGUACGACCGCAAGGUUGAAACUCAAAGGAAUUGACGGGGACCCGCACAAGCGGUGGAGCAUGUGGUUUAAUUCGAAGCAACGCGAAGAACCUUACCAAAUCUUGACAUCCUUUGACCGCUCUAGAGAUAGAGUCUUCCCCUUCGGGGGACAAAGUGACAGGUGGUGCAUGGUUGUCGUCAGCUCGUGUCGUGAGAUGUUGGGUUAAGUCCCGCAACGAGCGCAACCCUUAAGCUUAGUUGCCAUCAUUAAGUUGGGCACUCUAGGUUGACUGCCGGUGACAAACCGGAGGAAGGUGGGGAUGACGUCAAAUCAUCAUGCCCCUUAUGAUUUGGGCUACACACGUGCUACAAUGGAUAAUACAAAGGGCAGCGAAUCCGCGAGGCCAAGCAAAUCCCAUAAAAUUAUUCUCAGUUCGGAUUGUAGUCUGCAACUCGACUACAUGAAGCUGGAAUCGCUAGUAAUCGUAGAUCAGCAUGCUACGGUGAAUACGUUCCCGGGUCUUGUACACACCGCCCGUCACACCACGAGAGUUUGUAACACCCGAAGCCGGUGGAGUAACCUUUUAGGAGCUAGCCGUCGAAG
rnacentral:rRNA from 2 species